rnacentral:rRNA from 1 species
CCUACGGGGGGCUGCAGUGAGGAAUAUUGGUCAAUGGGUGAGAGCCUGAACCAGCCAUCCCGCGUGCAGGAUGACGGUCCUAGUGAUUGUAAACUGCUUUUCUAUGAGAUGAAUAAGAAUUACGUGUAGUUCGAUGACCGUAUUAUAGGAAUAAGCAUCGGCUAACUCCGUGCCAGCAGCCGCGGUAAUACGGAGGAUGCAAGCGUUAUCCGGAUUUAUUAGGUUUAAAGGGUGCGUAGGUGGGCGUUUAAGUCAGUGGUUAAAGCCAUUAGCUUAACUAAUGUAUGCCAUUGAUACUGGAUGUCUUGAAUGUGGUAGAGGUAGGCGGAAUGUGUUGUGUAGCGGUGAAAUGCUUAGAUAUAACACAGAACACCGAUUGCGAAGGCAGCUUACUAUUCCAUUAUUGACGCUGAUGCACGAAAGCGUGGGGAUCAAACAGGAUUAGAUACCCCAGUAGUC